rnacentral:misc_RNA from 1 species
GAUGAAGAACGUAGCGAAAUGCGAUAAGUAAUGUGAAUUGCAGAAUUCAGUGAAUCAUCGAAUCUUUGAACGCACAUUGCGCCCCUUGGUAUUCCGGGGGGCAUGCCUGUCCGAGCGUCAUUUCUGCCCUCCAGCCCGGCUGGGUGUUGGGCGCUGUCCCCCCGGGGACACGCCCCAAAGGCAGUGGCGGCGCCGCGUCGGGUCCUCGAGCGUAUGGGGCUUUGUCACCCGCUCGGGACGGACUCGUCGGCGCUGGUCUUCCUCCAGGCGACCCUUCGGGGCUCGUCUUCCUUCGGUUGACCUCGGAUCAGGUAGGGUUACCCGCUGAACUUAAGCAUAUCAAUAAGCGGAGGA